GGGCUAAUGAUGAGAAAUACAAUUAUCUUAGCGGAUUUCAGUGAGAUUUUUGAUCAAUGAUCUGAUUGUUACAAACACUGAAGAUC
rnacentral:snoRNA from 2 species